UAUAGCGUAUAUUAAAGUUGUUGCAGUUAAAAAGCUCGUAGUCGGAUGUCGGGCUCGGGCAGGCUGUCGGCUUCGGUCGGACGGCAGGCUCGGGUCUUUCUGCCUGAGGAUCCCGUGCACUUUAUUGUGGGCGGGGGACGCAGGCCGUUUACUUUGAAAAAAUUAGAGUGUUCAAAGCAGGCCUACGCUUGAAUACAUUAGCAUGGAAUAAUGGAAUAGGACUUUGGUGCUAUUUUGUUGGUUUAUGGGACCGAAGUAAUGAUUAACAGGGACAGUUGGGGCCGUUUAUAUUUCGUUGUCAGAGGUGAAAUUCUUGGAUUUACGAAAGAUAAACUUCUGCGAAAGCAUUCGGCAAGGAUGUUUUCAUUGAUCAAGAACGAAAGUUAGGGGAUCGAAGACGAUCAGAUACCGUCGUAGUCUUAACCAUAAACUAUGCCGACUAGGGAUCAGUGGAUGUCAAUUUGCGACUCCAUUGGCACCUUGUGAGAAAUCAAAGUUUUUGGGUUCCGGGGGGAGUAUGGUCGCAAGGCUGAAACUUAAAGGAAUUG
rnacentral:rRNA from 1 species